ACCAGUGGUUCCCGGCCCGGGCCCUGGGGGUUUGCAGGGGCAGCGGUACCACCCCGUGGUGCAGCCUGGGCGGAGGUGCAGCAGCAGGUCCAGGUAGUGGGGGUCAGAAAUGCGGCCAGAAGUGGAGGACCGGGGCAGUGAGUGAGCAAAGAUGUGCAUCCAGCAGGGCACUCGCAAGGGGGUCUUGGUCAGAUGGGCCUGGUAUGGAGACAUCAGUUGACUUCUCUGUCUGUAAUUCCAAAACCCACUUGUGCUGAAUAUUUUUCUUUCUAAGAUGACAUUCAGACUUCUCUACAACUUGAUCUGGAAAGAUCACCAGUACCUGGGAUGGCCUUGUAGACAACCAAGACAAGAGCAGGACCAGAAACUCUUAUGCUGGAAUUUGGCACAUGCAAACAAAGAUGCUGACAAUUUUUCCCCCCUGUGGUUUCAGUUCUAACCAGUGGCCUCACGUUAUGCAAUUUGAGCAUGGCAAAGGUAUUAAUGCUAAUUCUUACACAUACAUGUUUCAUGC